AAUGGGCGCAAGCCUGAUGCAGCAAUGCCGCGUGUGUGAAGAAGGCCUGCGGGUUGUAAAGCACUUUCAAUAGUGAAGAAAAGUUGUAGGUUAAUACCCGGCGACCUUGACGUUAACUAUACAAGAAGCACCGGCUAACUCCGUGCCAGCAGCCGCGGUAAUACGGAGGGUGCAAGCGUUAAUCGGAAUUACUGGGCGUAAAGCGUGCGUAGGCUGUUUGCUAAGUCAGAUGUGAAAGCCCCGGGCUUAACCUGGGAACUGCAUUUGAUACUGGCAGACUAGAAUGUGGUAGAGGGAGGUAGAAUUUCUGGUGUAGCGGUGAAAUGCGUAGAUAUCAGAAGGAAUACCAGUGGCGAAGGCGGCCUCCUGGACCAACAUUGACGCUGAGGUACGAAAGCGUGGGUAGCGAACAGGAUU
rnacentral:rRNA from 1 species